rnacentral:rRNA from 1 species
GUUUCGAAUCGUUCACAAUGGGGGCAACCCUGAUGGCGCGACGCCGCGUGGGGGAUGAAGGUCUUCGGAUUGUAAACUCCUGUCAUUGGGGACUAAUGGCCAGGCUCAUACCCUGGUUUGAAUUAACCCAAAGAGGAAGCAGUGGCUAAACUCUGUGCCAGCAGCCGCGGUAAUACAGAGACUGCAAGCGUUACUCGGAUUCACUGGGCGUAAAGGGAGCGCAGGCGGACUGGUGUGUCAGGCGUGAAAUCUCGGGGCUCAACCCCGAGGCUGCGCCCGAAACUACUAGUCUAGAGACUUGGAGGGGUAAGCGGAAUUCUUGGUGGAGCAGUGAAAUGCGUAGAUAUCAAGAGGAACACCAACGGCGAAGGCAGCUUACUGGACAAGAUCUGACGCUCAGGCUCGAAAGCGUGGGGAGCAAAAGGGAUUAGAUACCC